CCCGAGUUGUAAUUUGUAGAGGAUACUUUUGAUGCGGUGCCUUCCGAGUUCCCUGGAACGGGACGCCAUAGAGGGUGAGAGCCCCGUCUGGUUGGAUGCCAAAUCUCUGUAAAGUUCCUUCAACGAGUCGAGUAGUUUGGGAAUGCUGCUCUAAAUGGGAGGUAUAUGUCUUCUAAAGCUAAAUACCGGCCAGAGACCGAUAGCGCACAAGUAGAGUGAUCGAAAGAUGAAAAGCACUUUGAAAAGAGAGUUAAAAAGUACGUGAAAUUGUUGAAAGGGAAGCGUUUAUGACCAGACUUGGGCUUGGUUAAUCAUCUGGGGUUCUCCCCAGUGCACUUUUCCAGUCCAGGCCAGCAUCAGUUUUCCCCGGGGGAUAAAGGCGGCGGGAAUGUGGCUCUCUUCGGGGAGUGUUAUAGCCCACCGUGUAAUACCCUGGGGGG
rnacentral:rRNA from 1 species